rnacentral:rRNA from 1 species
AUUGAACGCUGGCGGCAUGCCUUACACAUGCAAGUCGAACGGCAGCACGGGUUCUUGCCCCUGGUGGCGAGUGGCGAACGGGUGAGUAAUACAUCGGAACAUGUCCUGUAGUGGGGGAUAGCCCGGCGAAAGCCGGAUUAAUACCGCAUACGAUCUACGGCUGAAAGCGGGGGACCUUCGGGCCUCGCGCUAUAGGGUUGGCCGAUGGCUGAUUAGCUAGUUGGUGGGGUAAAGGCCUACCAAGGCGACGAUCAGUAGCUGGUCUGAGAGGACGACCAGCGACACUGGGACUGAGACACGGCCCAGACUCCUACGGGAGGCAGCAGUGGGGAAUUUUGGACAAUGGGCGAAAGCCUGAUCCAGCAAUGCCGCGUGUGUGAAGAAGGCCUUCGGGUUGUAAAGCACUUUUGUCCGGAAAGAAAUCCUUGGCCCUAAUACGGUCGGGGGAUGACGGUACCGGAAGAAUAAGCACCGGCUAACUACGUG